UUCCAAAUGUGAUUCAAAUAGCGAUUUUUAAAGGAUUUUUUUCCAGUCUUCAUUCCUUUCCCUAAGCCUUGCUCUUCAGAUUUUUGUUGAUUUUCAUAUUCUUCCGUUGCCUCUGCUUCAUCUUCCCUGUUGUCUCUUCUUCUCUCUUUCAGACUUGAAGUUCUUAUUUUACAAAUGGCCAAUAGUUCCAUUCCUUCUUUGUGACUGUGCUAACAUCCCCCCACUCCUGCCUUCUCAAACUUUAUCCCUAACCGUAGGCAAGCUCUAUGUUGUUGUUUUUGUUCUGAUCACUACUUAGCUCCAUUGUUCUUCAUUCACUGUUUCUAGCUGCCACUUUGAUUUCUGGCUUUAGACAGAUGUUUUCACUGCCUCAAUCAUUCCCAUGACCUCGUCUUUACUAAAUACUGUCUGCUUUAUUAUCUCUCAUUUUUAAAUUCUCUUUCUCUGAUCAGUACCUGCUCUCUUUCAGCAUAUCUGUCUUUCUGUCUCCUUUACCCUGUCACUCACUCCUUUUGGGAUCUCCAGUCUAUUAACCUUUCUGACUCUUUUACUCUUCUCAGCUGCCUCCAUCCUUCACUGGCCUUGCCUCCUUUGACUCACUGGUCUUUAUUUUCAUCUCUGUCUGCUUCUCUGUAUGUGGUUUCUUUGGUUGCUUCUCGCAGUGCCCUGUCUCUAAUACCUUCCCUAGACAUCUUUUCAUGUUAUUUCUUAAUUUCCAUUCCUCGUUUUCUGAAUAUCACUGAAGAACGUCAGCACAACAGAGCUUUGGACUCAGCUCUGCCUUACCUGUUAUAAUUCUCCUUUAACCACUUGGGUCACGUCUUUUUUCUUGGUGAGUUUGCGUCCACGUUUGCUUUUCAUGUUAGGUUUUGUUUUUUGUUUCUUCCCCAAAUUGUUCUGCUGCCUUAGAAUCAGUUUCUGAACCAGGCCUCUGCCUCUCACCUGUAGGACUUUGUCCCUUCAAUUUCUGCAGCUCUUGUUCACUUCUUUCUCUUUUCUUGAAUGACUUUCAUAAAUGACUCCUUCACUAGCAACCACAUUUCUCUUUUACUCCCAUCUUGAAGUGUGUGGCUCCCCUCUUCUUAACUACUUCUCUGUUUAGUACUUUUUCCUUUAUACUCCAUUUAGCAUCCCCUUAUUUUAUGUACCUGAAUGUCAUCUCUGUUUUUGUUUUCAUGUUUUUUGUUUUGCUCUGUAAUUCCAGUGUCCCAAAAAUCCAGUGCCCCCUUCCCCAGUUUGGUUCUCUCAUAGUUCAAUCUCUGGAUGAUUUCUUGGCUAUUUGGCCAGUUUUUAGCCUGUUGAUUCAAAGGGCUAAUUUUUAUUCCAAACUCCCUCCAAACGUUUUCCAACAUCCCUGAUGAUGUUAGUUGCCUCUCUAUUUUCCUGGGCCAUAACCUUUCUCUCUCUGAUAUGUCUGCUGGUCAUAUGUCUCUCAAGUCAGCAAUACCAGACUGUACCCCUCUUCGCUGUCUGUGUUCUUUUAUCUUUACCACUGUAACUUCUGUGUCAUUUUUUACUUCUGUUCCUCCCUUCAAAGUAUCAAAAUCAACAAGAGUAAACAAUGGUCCUUGGCCUUUAGCUGUUUUAUGUGCUGAAGAAGGAAUCCAUGACAUUACUGACAGUUUUAUGUUUUUAAGGCAGUUCAGUUUUGCAAAUUUCAUCCUGUUUUACGACUCCAGAGCUGGAUUAGAUCCCAUUUCUCCAGGCACCUCAAAGGUUCUUGAAUUUGGUCCAUGAUUUUAUUUUCUACCACUUCAGUUGCAGGUUUUGUCUUUCAUUUCUUAACCUUAUGUAACACAUUCUUGUUCUAUUUCUGCACGUACAGCUAACAGUUAUUUUCUUGUGUUAUAGCAGCCUGAUUGCAGUGCAUUUAUCUUUUUUUAAAGUAAGAAUGUACUUCACAGCUUCACUGGCUGGGUCCGGAGUGUAUGGCAUGGUGCUCCUCUUCGAUACUGUCCCUCCCUUACUCUGGUUUGUCUUAGCUGCUGUUCUCUGUGUUGUGCCCAACUGCAGUUACACCGUGUUACACUUCAGGUUAGCGUACAUAACAUUGAGCCAACUGCAAGUAAGGUAGCUUCUGUACUUGCAGCAGUACUGCAAGUUCUUACCAGAAGCCCCACUACUUUUUGUCCUCUACGGCUGGAACAGAGCCUCUGUGCUGCACUAAUUCUGUAUCCACGUGACCCUAAUUUGGUGUCAAAUCAGAUGUGCCAGCAGUGCACUGCGUUGCUUUCUGUGCACGUAUACUGUUAGCCUUCCCAGCUGUAACAGGCUUACAGAUGUGGAAGGCUGUGUUUGCGGCGAUUCACUGAUGAUCACAUUGUCUGACCUUUCGAUUACUCCUGAUUAUUUUAUCCUUAUGCAUCUGUUCAGUUUGAGUAGCAAACAAUGUUAUUAAUUAUCCACAAAACUAAGAAGUUUUAGUGGCGGUGUUUUUUGUUAUUUCUUUGACUAUAGGGUACAGAAUUGGCUACCAGAAU
ensembl:lncRNA